rnacentral:rRNA from 1 species
AGUGAACGCUGGCGGCAGGCUUAACACAUGCAAGUCGAACGGCAGCACAGUAAUAGCUUGCUCUUACGGGUGGCGAGUGGAGGACGGGUGAGGAAUACAUCGGAAUCUACCUUUUCUUGGGGGAUAACGUAGGGAAACCUACGCUAAUACCGCAUACGACCUACGGGUGAAAGCAUGGGAUCUUCGGACCUUGCGUGUGUGAAUGAGCCGAUGCCGGAUUAGCUAGUUGGCGGGGUAAAGGCCCACCAAGGCGACGAUCCGUAGCUGGUCUGAGAGGAUGAUCAGCCACACUCGAACUGAGACGCGGUCCAGACUCCUACGGGAGGCAGCAGUGGGGAAUAUUGGACAAUGGGCGCAAGCCUGAUCCAGCCAUACCGCGUGGGUGAAGAAGGCCUUCGGGUUGUAAAGCCCUUUUGUUGGGAAAGAAAAGCAGCGGGUUAAUACCCCGCUGUUCUGACGGUACCCAAAGAAUAAGCACCGGCUAACUUCGUG